rnacentral:rRNA from 1 species
UGAGGAAUAUUGCGCAAUGGGGGAAACCCUGACGCAGCAACGCCGCGUGGGUGAAGAAGGCCUUCGGGUUGUAAAGCCCUGUCAGGUGGGAAGAACCCUUGGGUGUCAAAUAGGCGCUCAAUCUGACGGUACCACCAGAGGAAGCACCGGCUAACUCCGUGCCAGCAGCCGCGGUAAGACGGAGGGUGCAAGCGUUGUUCGGAAUCACUGGGCGUAAAGCGCGUGUAGGCGGUUCGAUAAGUCGGAUGUGAAAGCCCGAGGCUCAACCUCGGAAGUGCAUUCGAAACUGUCGGGCUAGAGUACGGGAGAGGGAAGUGGAAUUCCUGGUGUAGAGGUGAAAUUCGUAGAUAUCAGGAGGAACACCGGUGGCGAAGGCGGCUUCCUGGACCGAUACUGACGCUGAGACGCGAAAGCGUGGGGAGCAAACA